AUACACAAAUAUACACAAAUUGAUCAGCAUGGAUGUGUAACUGAUACAUAUGUGUACCUCACACUCCAUAUAUUAUACUAUACCUUAUAUCUUACAAUAUGAUCUCUAAUAAAUGUGCAUAAGUUGGUCCUUGUUUUCCUAUCUCCUGCCAUCAUGGGUGCUAGAGUGCACAUUCAGGAAGUGCCCCACCCAUCUGAAACAUGCAGAAAUUUUUCGUGGCACCUAUAUACUGUAGCUGAGGGUCUGACUGGGACUCCGUGCUAUAAGAGCCCCAUUGUUCAAUCCAGAGAGAGGCGAACUGGGCUGCUGCCUAAAACCACAUGGAAACGCGCACACACAAGUGCCAGUGUUAUGUGCCUCACAUUACUUAACUGACCAAAUCUAGGUAGGUACCACGUAGGUACAGAGAGAGUGGGACAGCGAAAUGAAUGAGCUGGUUAUGACGUGUUACCAGUGAGGAUUAGCAUAAUAACGGUAAUAAUUGUAGCGUGUUAUUGAUUGUACACUGGCAUGUACACUGUUACCUGACAACUUUCACAAAAACAUCAUUACAGAGAUGCUCGAUCUCACGCAUGUCAGAAAGCUUACUGAGGCACAAAACACAUUGAGAUAUCAAUUUUCACUUUUUAAUCGAAACAGUAUGAACAUCCAAAAAGAAAAAGAAAAAAACACUGCAAUUAAAUAAAAUGACUUAGACAGCAGACAGUAAAGUGAGGACCUGGCGUAUAGAGUAAGCAUAAAAAAAAGGCAUCGUUGCAAACUGUUGCAGUGUCUCAAACCAUUUUACAUUAAACAUUUUUUGUCAGUCAGUGCACAUAUUAAAGCAAGCACAGCAUAACACACACCCCUUAAUUACGCAGCAAAAAGAGUCACUUCUUGUCCAGUGAACCUGAGGUUAAAGCACAAGUCUGGUAGCCAGACCACAUGAUGUAAAAGGAUGAUGAGACCGAGUGUCUCUAAGCUUCUUAAAUGUUUUCCAGAUUGAACAGAAUUUCCAAAAAUGACCCUGGUUGAAAAACUUUAAGCAGUAUUCACACUGGCGUUAUGCUGUGGAGCAAAGUAAAUAUGAUUUAAUUACUGCUGAAAAGGGAGGCUGUUAAAAACAACCACGUCAAUUUGAAUUCACAUUAAUGAACUGCAAGAGUUGAACAUAGAAAUUACCCGAGCCAUUAGCCAUUCCAUUAAUGUCCUGUCAAAGUUUUAUAUGUCAGGAUUAAAGCUACUAGUUAAACCAAAAUAUGAAAGAUAUUAUGCAGGCCCAAUUUGUCCUGACAUCUGAUCUGCUUGGGAAUGUAUACAACAUGUUACAAUCUCUUUAUAAAAUGCCUAUAAUCUGGUUAUAAAAUGCUUUUUAUGUGUCAUACUACUGCAGCACAUUAAUGUUUGUCAUGCUACAUGGAAUUGAAUGUGGAUAUAGACUCAACUACUGCUGGUGUGUGUUCAAGCAUGCUUUCGAUACAUAGAAUGCAAUAAAAAAAAGAGAGAAAGUUAAAGGCUGGUGAGUUAUGGCCAUUUUUGGUGUUAUUUACAUAUGUACUAUUUCGCGUUUCUGUACUUUACCUCAUAUCUCCCCGUUAUUUUAAAAGAUAUUUUAGUUUGUUUUUUUUUAACUGGCUGUUAAUGUGUUUGCUCAUUAGGUCCACAUAACAACCCAGAUGUGUUGUAAGUAUAUGUGACACAUUCAAAUUCUUCCUCCUCCUUUACUUCCUGUCUGAAUCUUUGGCAGUGGUGGGGGUUAUGGGCAGGGUUUUUUGUUUGUUUGUUUGGGGGGGGGGGGGGGGGGGGGGUGUUAGGGUGAUGGGGGAAGUGUCCAAAUCAAUGGUUCUAGGGAUAGGGUAAGGCAGGAUGCUGCCCUAAUUGUCCUGGAUGAUUAGAGUGCUCCUGGCUUGCUUAUUUAAUGACAGGAAAUGACAUCAGUUCAGUAGUUCAGAAUUUCCAGAACCUCUUCUUUUUCUUCUUUUCUUCCUGUCUUGCCACCUUCCUUUUCAGGGGCUAAAAAGAGCAACAACAUCAGACAGACUUUAGUUUGAGCAAAUGACACACACCUACUAUCAACAAACACACACACACACACACACACACACACACACACACACACACACACACACACACACACACACGAACUUCCCCACAUCCCCUUACCUUGACAGAAUUAUGUGGGAAUUCAAGAUUAAUCGGGGUGGGAUGGGGGGGAGGGGUUGGGAAUAAGAGCAGGACAUGAUUACUGUAAAGUUUUGGACAUUGAUCAUCUAGGGUAAUUAAUGCUUUGAUAUCAAUGUUAUAUUAAUGUUGUUGGCAUUAAAUCCACAUUUAUCUUUGCUGUUGAAUUAUUGUUAGUAACACAAAUGUCUUGUAUAAGUUGAUGACACUUUAUGUUGCCACUCCAAGUGCCCUGGGUUUGCUCUCUCUCUCUCUCUCUCUCUCUCUCUCUCUCUCUCUCUCUCUCUCUCUCUCUCUCUUUACACAAAACAGGCUAAUGGCUGCAGUCUGGUGCAUAAUGACAUUCUAAUCACAGCACUUUUGGGGAACACAAUAUGUCUGCUAUUCAAGUGAUUAAAGUUGUGAGAACCCUGUUGUUAGGCAGCUGAUGAAAAUGGCUAACUAAUGACAAUUUACCUAGUUAGCACAUAGUCUUUACCAUAGGCUUGUUUGUAAUUUUUAAAAACAGACUACAUAUGACUAAGAUUAGACUGUAUCAAACAUUAGAUGUAGACAUACAGAAGUAGAAUACCACAAGUGCACUGUGUGUGUGUGUGUGUGUGUGUGUGUGUGUGUGUGUGUGUGUAUGCGCGUGCGUGUGUGUAUAAUCUUCUCAUAAUAGUGAAAAUGGUGUAGGGAACAUAGGAGUUGCAGCAUAGUGUUACAUCAUUUUAUCCGUAUUAGAAUUAUAAGUAGGUUAUAUUAAUAAAUAAUUGAUCAACGCUUGGUGAUAUUACAGAGAAUGAGAGGCCAUGUUGUUUUUGAGGCUUUUGUUUCUUUCCAGUCCUACAACACAGAAAAUCAUUUAGUGUUAGCAUGCAAAUUUUUCCUUCUCCUUGUUUUGGGAUUUUUGCUCCAUUUCCCCAAACUAUUUACUCUCAGUUCAAGAUUUAAGAUUCAAUUCCUAGCCACUAACAAGUUCUCCCAUAUAAAAUGACAGCUACCAGCCUGGGAGGGCAAAGGUUAACACAUGCUUCCUCUGCGACAUACUAUGUUAUCUACACAUAGGCUAAUAAUGGCUUGUAAAACUGUAAAGUUACUGUGUUAACUGUGUAAUGUCUGUCUGACUGAUAGGGGUUUUGAUAGUAAUGCAAAACAGUGUAUAUAAAUAACUUAAUCUGCUUAUUCAUAGACCCUGACUUAUUUGUACUAGCAUAAGGCUAAGUUUUGAUGAUGGCUGCAAAGCACUUCUAGAAGUCCCUCUAGAUAAGAGUCUCUGCUAAUGCCAUAAAUGUAAAUAUAUCCUAUUUAUGUCCUUUUGGACUCAAUUCAAAAUCAAAAUUCCAUGAUGGCUGAUAAACACUUAUAACCAUUGCACCACUUGCGAGUGCUAUUCAAUCCAAAUGUUAACACAGCAACCACAUGCAUUUUCCACAAAACAGUGAUGUAGCUGUUGUACUUACGAGUAUUGUCCCAUCCUCCUGACCACCACGACUAUCACUGCAAUGAUGAUGACCACAGCGACCAGUGCACCAAACACAAUGCCCACCACUUGACCCGUGCUCAUACCUACAGAGAGAAAGAAAGAGAGAGAGAGAUAGGGAGCAGGAGCAGCACACACACAGCUCUGAGAGACACUGGAAAAAAAGUCAAAGAGAAAGAGAGUGUGUGAGGAAGAGUGUGUGUGUUUAGAGGAUGGAAAUGGGGGUUGGGCACACGUGUUAGGUGGUCC
ensembl:lncRNA